rnacentral:rRNA from 1 species
AUGAACGCUGGCGGCGUGCCUAAUACAUGCAAGUCGAGCGCGGGAAGCGGACUCGUCACCCUUCGGGGUGUCUAGUCCGUGGAACGAGCGGCGGAUGGGUGAGUAUCACGUGGGCAACCUGCCUGUAAGAUUGGGAUAACUCGCGGAAACGUGAGCUAAUACCGAAUGAAGUCUUUCACCGCCUGGUGAAAGGAUGAAAGAUGGCUUUUAGCUAUCACUUACAGAUGGGCCCGCGGCGCAUUAGCUAGUUGGUGGGGUAAAGGCCUACCAAGGCGACGAUGCGUAGCCGACCUGAGAGGGUGAUCGGCUACACUGGGACUGAGACACGGCCCAGACUCCUACGGGAGGCAGCAGUAGGGAAUCUUCCGCAAUGGACGAAAGUCUGACGGAGCAACGCCGCGUGAAGUGAUGAAGGUCUUCGGAUCGUAAAACUCUGUUGUCAGGGAAGAACAAGUUGUGUUCUAACAGGACAUGACCUUGACGGUACCUGACCAGAAAGCCCCGGCUAACUACGUGCCAGCCGCGGC